rnacentral:rRNA from 1 species
GAUGAGCGCUGGCGGCAUGCCUAACACAUGCAAGUCGAUCGGUAAGGCUCUUCGGAGUACACGAGAGGCGGACGGCUGAGUAACGCGUAGGAACACACCCUGCAGUGAGGGAUAAGACACCGAAAGGUGUUCUAAUACCGCAUACGGUCUUCGGAUUAAAGCAUUUAUGCGCUGAAGGAGUGGCCUGCGUCAUAUUAGAUAGUUGGUGAGGUAAUGGCUCACCAAGUCGAUGAUGUGUAGCUGGUCUGAGAGGAUGAUCAGCCAGACUGGAACUGAGACACGGUCCAGACUCCUACGGGAGGCAGCAGUGAGGAAUAUUUCACAAUGAGCGAAGGCUUGAUGGAGCAAUGCCGCGUGCAGGAUGAAGGCCCUCGGGUUGUAAACUGCUUUUAUAAGAGAAGAUUAUGACGGUAACUUAUGAAUAAGGGACGGCUAACUACGUG